CUUGCCGAAACUAGCAAGGCGCUGUCUGUUUUUGUUCCAGGAGCAACAAAAAAAGUUGAAAGAUGGCGGACUGUUUUGCGGACGCAAUGGCGGUGAGCCGACGGCCGCAUAAAUAAGUCGAGGAUCAUUUGGCCUUGGCGGAAAUCAAGUUUCACGUUGAGCCGUGAUGGACUGCAGGCCCGCCAGAAUCUGCAGCAGAGGGAUCAGACGUGUUUGCUCGGGCGGCGGUGGAGAAGGUUUAAGACGCGCAGAUGGCUCCAGCGCCAUGGCAAGCUCACUCAGGCCUGCAAAAAAGCAAAAAGACACUCCCUGUGUCCAAGACUCUCCAUGUGUCCAAGACUCUCCAUCGCAAGUCUGAUGACACGACCGCAAAGUCCAUCAUCGUUGUGACCAGCAAACAAGUCUAUUAAUGCAACCGUCCGUCCAUGUAUCAAUCAUUCUAUCUAUGUAUGUUAUGUCUGUAUGCCUGUAUGUAAUGCAGUGCUUCUCAAUUAUUUUCUGUGAUGCCACCCUUAGGGAGAAGAAAACAUUUUGCGCCCCCCCCCCACCACCAUGGUAUUAACAGGAAAAAAAAAGUUCUAUAUUAAUAUUAUAAUAUAUAACAUCUGUUCAAUAUUUUUUAAUUUAUUUUUAUUUUUCCAUGGUGUCCCACUGCCCUUUUUUAUCGCCUGCUCUGUCUGUGCUGUGUGUGCUAGUGUUGGGGUCGUGAGUUCUUUUCACUGAACGAGUGAACGAAUUCUUUUUUCAGUUCAUAUGACUUCCACCAGUAGGUGUCAGCAAUGCGCAUUAAAGCUGGUGCCACCUCACCCUAAAACAAAACGAAGAAGAAAAGGACGUGACUUAUGCACGUUUUCUCCAAGCUAACGGCUACCUUUAUUGCAUGAAGGGAUGCGCCCUCCGUUACGCAACAACGGGGAGAUGAUGCUUCUCUUUGGCUAAUCUUGA